ACAAAUCUUUUUACAAGCAUUACAAUUGGAACGAUACAGAGAAGAUUAGCAUGGACCCUACGCAAGGAUGACACACACAAAUCGAGAAAUGGUCCAAAAUUUU